GGCGGCCCCUGAGGGAAUGAGGGCAGGCGGGAGGGCGACAUGGCGCUUGUCAACACGGCUGUCACCGCGGCCGAGGCUGCUGCUAAAACCGGGAAACCAGAACUUGCUGCAGCUAGGGAGAGGUUUGGGGAGUAGCCUUCGUUUAAGACGUUAAUAGGAAAGCCCAGCUUGCGGGCUAUUCACACUUUAGGAGACACGUGGCACGUCCAUGUUCCUGCUUCACCCAAAAGUAACUGUUUAAAAACACAUUCCUUGCAUGGCCAUGCUUAAGCGCUAAUUUCCAAUUAAACCUUCCAAAGAGAAAUACAGACGUUCAUGCUUGAGCUCAAGGCAGCCUGUUCCUUGACUACUGUUUUAGUGAUGUGGGGAAGAGUUAAAGCCUAACACGCAGCCUGGCUUUCCAGUGGAAUAUUUACGCGCUGGUUUUGCCAGUGUGAGCCAGCAGAGCUGCUGUGUCAGUGCAGGCACAGGGUGAGGACAAGUGUGGACAAAAUUCUGCAAGACAAGCUGAGCCUGAGGAGAUGCAGGUCACAUACGUGGCUGGAUAAGAGACUUUUCCUGCCAAGUCAUUUUCUAUCAGCUUGGAUCAGGAUAACAUCAAAUCUACUGCUUCCCAUACCACAAACUGUGCUGGUUUUUCACCUUUCUCAGCUGUAGUUUUAGUCUUUCCACACAUGUUCCAUACAGUGUUA